GACGAACGCUGGCGGCGUGCUUAACACAUGCAAGUCGAACGGACAGGCCCUGCUUUUGUGGGGUGCUCGAGUGGCGAACGGGUGAGUAAAACGCGAGUAACCUGCCCUUGACUUUGGGAUAACUUCAGGAAAAUGGGGCUCAUACCGGAUAGGAGCUCCUGCUGCAUGGUGGGGGUUGGAAAGUUUCGGCUGUUGGGGAUGGACUCGAGGCUUAUCCGCUUGUUGGUGGGGUAGUGGCUGACAAAGGCUACGACGGGUAGCCGGCCUGAGAGGGUGACCGGCCACAAUGGGACUGAGAGACGGCCCAGACUCCUACGGGAGGCAGCAGUGGAGAAUAUUGCACAAUGGGCGGAAGCCUGAUGCAGCAACGCCGCGUGCGGGAUGACGGCCUUCGGGUUGUAAACCGCUUUCGCCGGUGACGAAGCGUGAGUGACGGUAAUGGGUAAAGAAGCACCGGCUAACUACGUG
rnacentral:rRNA from 1 species